UUAUAUGAUGAACUUUGUCUUUACAUUACUAUUUUUCUGGUACCUCUUAUGUCAGAGACUCUCACGAGUCUCGAUGAUCUAAAUGGACUUCUGAUC
rnacentral:snoRNA from 1 species